GUGCAUGGCGCUGCUACCAUGCAGUCGACGAAGGCUUCGGCCUUAGUGGCGCACGGGUGCGUAACGCGUGGGAAUCUGCCCUCAGGUUCGGAAUAACAGCGAGAAAUUGCUGCUAAUACCGGAUGAUAUCGCGAGAUCAAAGAUUUAUCGCCUGAGGAUGAGCCCGCGUAGGAUUAGCUAGUUGGUGUGGUAAAGGCGCACCAAGGCGACGAUCCUUAGCUGGUCUGAGAGGAUGAUCAGCCACACUGGGACUGAGACACGGCCCAGACUCCUACGGGAGGCAGCAGUGGGGAAUAUUGGACAAUGGGCGAAAGCCUGAUCCAGCAAUGCCGCGUGAGUGAUGAAGGCCUUAGGGUUGUAAAGCUCUUUUACCCGGGAUGAUAAUGACAGUACCGGGAGAAUAAGCUCCGGCUAACUCCGUGCCAGCAGCCGCGGUAA
rnacentral:rRNA from 1 species